rnacentral:lncRNA from 1 species
UCUCUAAAUCCGCUCCUCUUAUCUUUUCUCUCGGACACCCUCAAACCCUUAUCAGUGCCACCUUCUUCGGCCACCUCUCUCGCCAGAAACCAUGGCCUCUCAUCAUCUCAUGGCCUCUGCUUCACCUCACACUGGUUUUACACCACCCCGUGGGCCUCAGGUGAACCUGGAGUGGUUCAACUCUUAUCCAUGGUCUUUCAUGCCAUUUUUCGGCCAUCCAUGGCUGUUCGAGUAAGAUCUAUGACUUUUUUCGACUAAUAUCGGUGACAUUUUAAGAUCCUCUCAUCUUCUUUGGGUUCUCUGAAUCCCUUACUCUUG